UGGGCGGGAAUAUGGAAAAGCGCGUCCCUUUCCCAACCAGUCACUGGAGUGCGUGAUGACGAACGGUUUGUCUGUUUUGCAGAACACUGGGCUAUUCGGCAUAGUCGUUGAUUCUUUCGACGCACGCAAUAUUAAGAUAUACUGCAUGGUUUAACAAUUGUGUGGAUUAUUGCUGCACAAAGAAAUAUCGACCAUAGACUGGAGAAAAUACAUUUGCAAACAUGCGAAGAUAGUCGACACACAGAGGCAGGAUCACUACAUGCGAUGGAUGACGAGCCUGUGACAAUGUCAGUGCAGAGAAAAGCGUUAUAAGCCCAGUUUUGGUUCUUUUGAAAUAUUUGAUGAUAUAAUUACGCCUUUGUUAACAACAUUUUGUUUAGCGUAAUGUUUUUCAAUUUUAUGCUUCUUACGAAUUCUGGUUUUGACAACCGGUGUUGCAGAGUCAACACAUAACCGAUUUGUACCAAGUUCAUUGUACAGAAGAGAACUGGGUAAUAAUGAUAUCAUUCAACUUUAUGGUUUUUUCAAUUUUACUGCUUUAUGAUUAACAUAACUGAGCCUAUCGGCAAGUUCAAUAGGAGUUUAUUUGUGUUUUAAAUCAUGUGCCGGACGUGCAUAUACCGUGUGAAACUGCGCUGUAUUUUUUAUUUAUUUAUUUUGCUGCCUUGUUUCGUUUAUUUUGUUUUUUUAUUUGCCUUUUUGUCAUUUUUCUGGUGUUCAGCGUUGGUAGUCAGCAAGAGAUGCAGCGGGAUAAGUCGUUAUGCAGAUAUUAAAAGCAGCAUCAGAUCGGAGGUAAAGUUAUGUAUUGUACGGGUCAGAUCGAAAGAUACUCGGGGCAAGGUGCCAUUAUUUUCGAAACGACUCCUAUUAGGGCAAUUAUUAAAAUAUUUGUUUAAUCUAAGAAAGCGACCCAAAAACUUCGACCUGAUGGACUUUAUUUCAUGACCCAACUGUAAUGUAUUUUUGUACAUUAUAUGUAUUCAGUGGAAAAUUUAAUUUUUGACGUUUAACUCCAAAUACCUUUGGGACUCCUUGAUUCCAGUGUUCAACUCUCAAAAAUCAAACUUUUGUAUAUUGGGAAAUUCUAAUAAUGACUCCAACAACAAUUUGAGAACUGACUUAAAAGUAAGUUUUUCAAUAUUGCUA